UACGUAGGUGGCAAGCGUUGUCCGGAUUUACUGGGCGUAAAGCGCGUGUAGGCGGUUCGGAAAGUCGGGUGUGAAAGCCCUGGGCUCAACCCAGGAAGUGCACUCGAAACUCCCGAGCUAGAGUUCUGGAGAGGAAGGCGGAAUUCUCGGUGUAGAGGUGAAAUUCGUAGAUAUCGAGAGGAACAUCGGUGGCGAAGGCGGCCUUCUGGACAGCAACUGACGCUGAGACGCGAAAGCGUGGGGAGCAAACAGG
rnacentral:rRNA from 1 species